rnacentral:rRNA from 1 species
ACCUCGAAUCAGGUAGGAAUACCCGCUGAACUUAAGCAUAUCAAAG